UGCUACUCGAGAGAGGCUCCUCUCUUCGUCUGCUUUCUGCUGAAGUGCAGUAGCGAAAUGUGCACGAUGGGAUAUGACCUAAUUGUUGAUUGUGGUGAGGCGCUGGUGUCCCACAGUUUGUGCUGCCACUGUUGUGGUUGAGGUUUUGGAGAUGGCUGUAGUCCUGCUCGGUUUCAUCAGCGUCUUGGCCUUCUGCACAGAUGCAGUAAUAUAAUGUAAGUAAAGAGGGUGUGUAUUGAGAUCACUUUCUGUCAUAAUACAGCUGUACACCAUAGUAAUAAAACAACCAACAGGUGAUUGCUAUGACUAGAGAUGUGAAAGGAAGAAAAUUUAAAGUAAAAGUUACCAGUCAAUUGUAAUACAAGAGAAAACUAGUGCUACUGUAGUACACAAUGACAGCACUGUGUGGUAUCUGCAGCCAGUUCGUUCAUCAGCUGGUUUGUUCAAACUUCAGUGCUAGAAAAAGUCAACAUCUGGCAUCGUUGGUCUCCAUGCCACCUGUGUUUGGGGUCCUGGUAUGUGUGUUGAAACAUGCAUCUACGCUGAUUAGCAUGAAAGUUGGGGCUUUAUUGUUGUUGUUUUUUUCUUCCUUUCUACAAUUUGUAUGUCUCAGGGUUUUCAGGCACAAUGCAGCAUGUGCUAUGCUGGGUUCAGUGCACUUUUUGGGGGAGUCAUGGAUGACAGAAUGGACAAGGUGUUGCAGCUUUAUUUAGUGUAACUCAACUAUGAGUGAUGUGGACAGAGACAAUCCCAGUGUUUAAAUAGAAGCAGUUAUGCUGCAGGAUGACCUGAUCCCAGACAUUAGCUGGGAUUCCACAACAAAGCUGAGUAUUGGCAGAGAGUUAUUAAGAGUGAGCUGGUUAUAUGGUGUCAGCUAGUGAAAGCUGAGGUCUAUCCCGACAGACCUUUCACUGUGGAGUCAUGCGGCUGGAAGUGCCUCAGAUUAAAUCUGCAGUUUUGUUUGAUACACUUUAGUAGCAGGCUGUGGCUGUGGUACCAUACAUGUCAUUAGGAUCCGAGCACCAUAGAGUGGUGCGAGAACCCUCUUGAAAUGCGAGGAAUUAAUUUUGGUUUUUAUUCUUUGGCAGACUUUCCAUUUGGACUUUUGAAGGCCUAAAAAUACUGAAACGCGCAAAACUUUGCACACACAUCUGGACUAGUGAAAAAUGUUAUAUUUUAGAGGAACUGCACACUGUGUGGCAAAAUGGCUCAUUAGUUCCAGCUGGGAAAUUUUAAACAGGAACUACUACCAGUACAUGUCACUUACAGCUUUGAAAUUUGAUAUGGAUAAGUAACUCUUCAAGACGCACGGAAAUGGAAUUGGCAGCCAUACCUAAACCCCAACAAGAUAUCGGCCAUUUUGAACUUUGUCAUAUUUUGGGUGAUUUAGGACCAAUUUUUGCACAUUUGGUACAGCUGUAAACUCAAAGUGAGUAACUCCAACAGAGCUCAAAUUUAGCCAGAACUAUCCUGUACGUGCUCCAGUUGGUCUCAAACUUUACAUGUGUGAUCAGACUCCUCUCCUGAUGAUGUUCACAGGUCAAUGGCAAUAUAGAGUCACAGUCAUAGCGCCAGCUGCUGGACAUUUUAUAUGUUUCGCCACGAAACAGGAAGUGCUGUCUAACUAGACUGUACAUGCUCCAGUCUGCCUCAAACUUUACAUGUUUGAUCAGAGUCGGGCCCUCAUCAAUUGCAUAGGUGUGAGCCAAAAUAGCUCAAUAGCACCACCUGGAAAAUUUAAACCAGGAGCUACUGCCAGUACGUGUGACCUACAGCUAUGAAAUUUGGUAGGUGUAAGUAACUCGUCAGCGCACAGAAAUGUAAUAUUAAAAGUUAAGUUGUCUUUUGUAAUAUUUACUUACUGAACUUGCUGAAAAGUAAACCUAGUUGUAAUUGGGCUGUUGUGCCUGUAAGCUUUAAAUGCCGCUGAGCUGCUGCUGUCCACAGUAACUCUCUCCGCUCUGUUCAAGCAGCAGCUUGGAGAUUGUUAAGAAGUGACUGCUGGUCAACAUGUAGUUUCAUAACUAUUUACCGUAAUUUCCAGACUAUUGAGCGCACCCACUAAAUAUUCUAAAUCUAAAUCUAAAAACAAAAACAAUUUUGUACAUAUAUAAGCCGCACCAUCUAUAAGCCGCAGGUGUCCACAUUAUGACAUGAGAUAUUUACACAGAAUUUUUUUUUAACCUUUAAUUAAAUGAAUGUUUUUUUCCGAACAGUGCCUGUAACACGGCAGUAAAACUAUUGAGUCAGUUCUUCACGUGGCUGACUCCAACGUCUAAUUAUCGAUUCAUUGAUGCCAGGCUAACAUGCAGCAGUUCUAUUUCCUUCUUCGACAGGCAGAUCGAUUGCCUUUAACUUAAAAGCUGCAUCAUAUGCAUUUCUUCUUGUGUUUUCCAUGAUGAAGGUGUGUGCAUGAAGCGCAAAAUCACCAAUCUGAAGAAUUUAGUGUGAGUGCGUUUGAUUUCAUGUGAAGAGUUUCAUUGGUCCACUGUGACCUGUUUGGUAAUUUUAUUGGUCUGAUGUGACGAGGCUAAACGUAUUGGCGGCAUGAAGCUCACCUGUAGAAAUCUAUACAUUAGCCGCAUUGUUGUAUAAGCCGCAGGGUUCAAAGUGUGAAAAAAAAGUAGCAGCUUAUAGUCCAGAAACUACAGUAAUACUUUUUUUUUUUUUUUUUUUUGUUCGUUUUCUGACAACAGAAACCAAUAUGUAAAUGAGAACUGCUUUAUUGGGAAUCUGGCCGAGAUAGAUUGCAGCCCUUUGCAACCUUCUAUAGAAUAAAGUGGAUAUAGUUAAUGAAUGGAUGGAUUGAAGUGUAUAAAACAUUCAAAACACUUAAAACACAUUUUCAUGUUGUAUAAUCUUUAACAAAUAGUUUUUGGCAGUGUGAGAAAUUCAUAAUUUAAUGGUGUUUUACUCAAAGUUGUCAUUUGCCUUUAGGUCAUGGCAGAAACAUGAGUCUUGUGAAGUCAUACUUUGGUUUGUGUUGCAGCAAAGGAUGAUUUCCUGAUCCCAGACAUCAGUAAGGAUUCCACAACAAAGAUACCUGGAAGCACUGAUGAGGAACGUCGGUAACCUUUCACUAUGCAGCAGCUUGAUACAGAUCACUGACCAGCUGCUAAGAGGGGUCCUGACUGUCGUGUCGCUGACUGACUUUGAUUUUGAUUCCAAAAUCAACUGUACUACUGCAAAUCAGACUGUUGAUGAUAACUCUGAUUUCGCCUUGUCUGUAAAAUAAAUAAAUGUCAGUACUGGUCUGCUAA
ensembl:lncRNA